rnacentral:rRNA from 2 species
AGGACGAACGCUGGCGGCGUGCUUAACACAUGCAAGUCGAACGAUGAAGCCCAGCUUGCUGGGUGGAUUAGUGGCGAACGGGUGAGUAACACGUGAGCAACGUGCCCGAAACUCUGGAAUAACCACCGGAAACGGUGGCUAAUACUGGAUAUGUGCCAGGGAGGCAUCUCCUCUGGUUGGAAAGAUUUUUCGGUUUCGGAUCGGCUCACGGCCUAUCAGCUUGUUGGCGGGGUAAAGGCCCACCAAGGCGACGACGGGUAGCCGGCCUGAGAGGGUGACCGGCCACACUGGGACUGAGACACGGCCCAGACUCCUACGGGAGGCAGCAGUGGGGAAUAUUGCACAAUGGGCGCAAGCCUGAUGCAGCAACGCCGCGUGAGGGAUGACGGCCUUCGGGUUGUAAACCUCUUUUAGUAGGGAAGAAGCGAAAGUGACGGUACCUGCAGAAAAAGCACCGGCUAACUACGUGCCAGCAGCCGCGGUAAUACGUAGGGUGCAAGCGUUGUCCGGAAUUAUUGGGCGUAAAGAGCUCGUAGGCGGUUUGUCGCGUCUGCUGUGAAAUCCCGAGGCUCAACCUCGGGCCUGCAGUGGGUACGGGCAGACUUGAGUGCGGUAGGGGAGAUUGGAAUUCCUGGUGUAGCGGUGGAAUGCGCAGAUAUCAUGAGGAACACCGAUGGCGAAGGCAGAUCUCUGGGCCGUUACUGACGC